rnacentral:misc_RNA from 1 species
UCAAAUUCUUGACCAUAGUUACUAGAUUUGCUCUCCCACCUCUCUUGGGUAUUGCGAUCUGGGUCGCACAUCCCAAUUCACAGAAUGUUUGCAUACCAAAUCACUAGGGGACGCGAUCUGGGUCGCCAAAAUGGGAGUUCUAGCAAGCAAGAAAGGCAAGAAAAGAAAGGAAGAAGAACACAGCAGCCAUGCGUGAAAGAAGAGGAGAGCCGACAAUGCAAGAAGAAGAAGAAAAGAACUGAUGGGUUGA